AGGCUUUGUGAUGACCAGGAGGAUUAGCGCUAUUUUUCCAAGACAGGUUUAUAUGUGUAUGAUCUUCAGGCUUUGCCUAUCCAGGUUGGCUGGCCGGUGCUGACGGGACGGAGCUGAGGCUAGAGAUAAAUUCCUAUGUUAGACUUCCGCUGUAGCAAUUACUCUUAUACAUCUUUUGUUUUCUCAACUUAAGAUGACUUCAUUUGAGCUUCAAUUUAAAAUUUAUAGUUUUAUGUUAAUGAACGUCGGUUGUCAGAAGCAUGAAACAAAACUUGUGAUCCAAAGGGGCCUAGCCUGACUUUCUAUCCUAUUUCGGGUUUUAACAAGGUAUUUCCCUUGUUUAUUUCUAUGAAUUAUUCACACCUCGAUUAUAUUUA